GACGAACGCUGGCGGCGUGCCUAAUACAUGCAAGUCGAGCGAAUCACUAGGAGCUUGCUCCUGGUGGUUAGCGGCGGACGGGUGAGUAACACGUGGGCAACCUGCCUGUAAGACUGGGAUAACACCGGGAAACAGGUGCUAAUACCGGAUAAUCCUUUUCCUCUCAUGAGGAAAAGCUGAAAGUCGGUUUCGGCUGACACUUACAGAUGGGCCCGCGGCGCAUUAGCUAGUUGGUGAGGUAACGGCUCACCAAGGCGACGAUGCGUAGCCGACCUGAGAGGGUGAUCGGCCACACUGGGACUGAGACACGGCCCAGACUCCUACGGGAGGCAGCAGUAGGGAAUCUUCCACAAUGGACGAAAGUCUGAUGGAGCAACGCCGCGUGAGCGAUGAAGGCCUUCGGGUCGUAAAGCUCUGUUGUUAGGGAAGAACAAGUACCGGAGUAACUGCCGGUACCUUGACGGUACCUAACCAGAAAGCCACGGCUAACUACGUGCCAGCCGCCGCAGUAAUAC
rnacentral:rRNA from 1 species